UACAGAGGUCUCAAGCGUUGUUCGGAUUCAUUGGGCGUAAAGGGUGCGUAGGUGGCGCUGUAAGUCGGGUGUGAAAUUUCGGAGCUUAACUCCGAAACUGCAUUCGAUACUGCGGUGCUUGAGGACUGGAGAGGAGACUGGAAUUCAUGGUGUAGCAGUGAAAUGCGUAGAGAUCAGGAGGAACACCGGUGGCGAAGGCGGAUCUCUGGGCCGAUACUGACGCUGAGGAGCGAAAGCGUGGGGAGCGAACAGG
rnacentral:rRNA from 1 species